GCCUGAGUGAUGAAAUUGGUAUACAUGGGGGAUUCAAAAUCCCCUGUCGCGAGACGUGUCGGUUCGAGUCCGACCUCAGGUACCA
rnacentral:tRNA from 1 species